UCGGAUUUAUCUAUCCAUCGUCGGGAGGACGGAUAGCCUGCUAAAGAUAGAACGCUCAUACAAAUCGUGCUUACUUCCGUUUCAAUAUGAGUUUUAAGUAACUCUCCGGUAGGCGGCGCUAUCUCUAGUAUGGGCAUUCGCUUAUCUGUCAAAAUCGGCCGGUUACAUGUUUAUCUUUCGAAAGUAAAUCGCUAUAAUUUAAUAAUUGUUUCUCUUCAUAUUGGCAUAUUGUAGCAGUGAUGAUAGUGAUAUGGAAUUAUUUCAAAUGAUAAUGGAUUGUGAUGCAGAUAGUGAUAGUGAGGCCGAUAUCAUAUGGUUAGGAAAAUAAAGAUCGUCUGAAUUACAUGGCGAAGAUCAAUAAUUACGAAUUUGACUAUAGAUUUCUGAGCAAAGGUGUUGUGAAUGAAUUGAUUAAUUUAAUGAGACCAUAUUUGAGUGUAACGUCAAAAAGGUAAGAUAAAUUUUAACCAUAAAAGUACUCGUUAUUACAACUUAUAUUUGUUUAUAGCAAUAGCAAAAUUAUACCUAAUUUUUGUUGUGUUACAAAAUCACACUCAACAGGAAUUCUAUAAUACUGCUGGAUUCCCAUGGUGCCCUAAAUGACAUUCAUAUACUAAUACAAUAACCUGGUAGGCUAUUUACCUUCAUUCUUAUUACACACUGAUACCUCUACAUUUUAUAUUUGUGUUACAGAUUCAAAUAUAGGAGAGGAAUUUAGAAAUAGAAAAAGAGUAUUUUGAAUGUGUAAUUUGUGUGCAAUGCAUCAUUGAUGUUUCAAAAUGUUGUUGCUUGAUGGCCUGGGUCUACUCAUGAUACAACUAUAAUUAACCAUUCCGAUUGAAAAGAUGCAUUGGUGUUUGUAAAAGAAGACUCCCUGUAUAUCAUUGAAAAGUAGAUUAAAACUAGAAAAUAUGCAAGCUGUUAUUAUAGCUGCCAUGCUGCAUAAUAUCGUCAGAAGUAUGAAUUUAGAAGAAUUAGAAUCAGAAAUUUCAGUCGCAGAUACAUUACAGGAAAAUAAUAUAAUUGUUCGUAACAAUUUUUCAAAACUUACAUCUGAAAUACAACUAUGUACUUAUAAAUAAUUGCUUCCAAAGAUAAUUUAUAAAAUAAACUCCAAAGAUAAU
rnacentral:lncRNA from 1 species